rnacentral:rRNA from 1 species
UUGCACGCUGGCGGCAGGCCUCACACCUGCAAGUCGAGCGGAUGAAGGGAGCUUGCUCCUGGAUUCAGCGGCGGACGGGUGAGUAAUGCCUAGGAAUCUGCCUGGUAGUGGGGGAUAACGUCCGGAAACGGGCGCUAAUACCGCAUACGUCCUGAGGGAGAAAGUGGGGGAUCUUCGGACCUCACGCUAUCAGAUGAGCCUAGGUCGGAUUAGCUAGUUGGUGGGGUAAAGGCCUACCAAGGCGACGAUCCGUAACUGGUCUGAGAGGAUGAUCAGUCACACUGGAACUGAGACACGGUCCAGACUCCUACGGGAGGCAGCAGUGGGGAAUAUUGGACAAUGGGCGAAAGCCUGAUCCAGCCAUGCCGCGUGUGUGAAGAAGGUCUUCGGAUUGUAAAGCACUUUAAGUUGGGAGGAAGGGCAGUAAGCUAAUACCUUGCUGUUUUGACGUUACCAACAGAAUAAGCACCGGCUAACUUCGUG